CCUACGUGAGGCAGCAGUGAGGAAUAUGGGACAAUGGACGAGAGGCCGAACAAGAAAAGGAGAGGGAGGGAAGACGGCCCUACGGGUUGUAAACCUCUUUUGUCGGGGAGCAAAGAGAGUCACGUGUGACUCUUUGAGAGUACCCGAAUAAAAAGCAUCGGCUAACUCCGUGCAAGCAGCAGCGGUAAUACGGAGGAUGCGAGCGUUAUCCGGAUUUAUUGGGUUUAAAGGGUGCGCAGGCGGAGGUGCAAGUCAGCGGUCAAAUUGCGGGGCUCAACCCCGUACUGCCGUUGAAACUGCAUCCCUUGAGUGCGCGAGAAGUAUGCGGAAUGCGUGGUGUAGCGGUGAAAUGCAUAGAUAUCACGCAGAACUCCGAUUGCGAAGGCAGCAUACCGGCGCGCAACUGACGCUCAUGCACGAAAGCGUGGGUAUCGAACAGGAUUAGAUACCCUUGUAGUC
rnacentral:rRNA from 1 species